CAGGCCUAACACAUGCAAGUCGAACGCCCCGCAAGGGGAGUGGCAGACGGGUGAGUAACACGUGGGAACGUACCCUUUGGUUCGGAACAACCCUGGGAAACUAGGGCUAAUACCGGAUACGCGCGAGAGCGGAAAGGUUUACCGCCGAAGGAUCGGCCCGCGUCUGAUUAGCUAGUUGGUGAGGUAACGGCUCACCAAGGCGACGAUCAGUAGCUGGUCUGAGAGGAUGAUCAGCCACAUUGGGACUGAGACACGGCCCAAACUCCUACGGGAGGCAGCAGUGGGGAAUAUUGGACAAUGGGCGCAAGCCUGAUCCAGCCAUGCCGCGUGAGUGAUGACGGCCCUAGGGUUGUAAAGCUCUUUUACCUGGGAAGAUAAUGACGGUGAUCAGGAGAAUAAGCCCCGGCUAACUUAGUGCCAGCAGCCGCGGUAAU
rnacentral:rRNA from 1 species